rnacentral:rRNA from 1 species
UACGAAGGGGGCUAGCGUUGUUCGGAAUUACUGGGCGUAAAGCGCACGUAGGCGGAUAUUUAAGUCAGGGGUGAAAUCCCAGAGCUCAACUCUGGAACUGCCUUUGAUACUGGGUAUCUUGAGUAUGGAAGAGGUGAGUGGAAUUCCGAGUGUAGAGGUGAAAUUCGUAGAUAUUCGGAGGAACACCAGUGGCGAAGGCGGCUCACUGGUCCAUUACUGA